rnacentral:rRNA from 1 species
GGGAAUUUUGCGCAAUGGGGGAAACCCUGACGCAGCAACGCCGCGUGGAGGAUGAAGUAUCUUGGUACGUAAACUCCUUUCGACCGGGACGAUAAUGACGGUACCGGAAGAAGAAGCCCCGGCUAACUUCGUGCCAGCAGCCGCGGUAAUACGAGGGGGCCAAGCGUUGUUCGGAAUUAUUGGGCGUAAAGGGUGCGUAGGCGGCCCCGCAAGCCUUGUGUGAAAUCUUCAGGCUCAACUUGAAGUCUGCAUAGGAAACUGCGGGGCUGGAGUAUGGGAGAGGUGAGUGGAAGUCCUGGUGUAGCGGUGAAAUGCGUAGAUAUCAGGAGGAACACCUGUGGCGAAAGCGGCUCGCUGGCCCGGAACUGACGCUGAGGUGCGAAAGCGUGGGGAGCAAACA